rnacentral:lncRNA from 1 species
GUCCUGCUCCUUGGUUACGUCUAUUACUAAAGUUACUAUGGUUACUUCUAUUACUAAAGCCUGAGGGACAUGAACUAUCCUGAGGGCAAGACCCAUCUUACUCUGCUUUGCUGCUGUCAUACUGUUCUGUAGGGAGGACUCAUUUAGCAGUUAGGUGUUCAUCCUCUUUCCCAGAAGCCCUGACUGGGUCAGGGUUGAGAAUGCAGAGACUAAAGACGGGGCUUUGCCCUCCAGAGAUUAAGAAACCACUAAAAACAAAACAAAAAACAAACAAACAAAACAAAAGACUGCAGGUCUUGAGAUAAACUUAUGAUAUUCUGGGUCCAAGUACGCAUGGAUUAUGACAUCCUUAAUGUUGGUGAAGAAGGCAGAAGGGAUAUGCAAGAAAGUGGAAGUAAUUUGGAGAAGAAAUAGAUUGCUGAAUGCAGUCUGCUGCACCUUGACUACCCAAAGAAAAACCAUACAAGAACUCCAACUCCAAC